UAGGGAAUCUUCGGCAAUGGGGGCAACCCUGACCGAGCAACGCCGCGUGAGUGAAGAAGGUUUUCGGAUCGUAAAGCUCUGUUGUAAGAGAAGAACGUGUGUGAGAGUGGAAAGUUCACACAGUGACGGUAACUUACCAGAAAGGGACGGCUAACUACGUGCCAGCAGCCGCGGUAAUACGUAGGUCCCGAGCGUUGUCCGGAUUUAUUGGGCGUAAAGCGAGCGCAGGCGGUUUAAUAAGUCUGAAGUUAAAGGCAGUGGCUUAACCAUUGUUGCUUUGGAAUCUGUUAAACUUGAGUGCAGAAGGGGAGAGUGGAAUUCCAUGUGUAGCGGUGAAAUGCGUAGAUAUAUGGAGGAACACCGGUGGCGAAAGCGGCUCUCUGGUCUGUAACUGACGCUGAGGCUCGAAAGCGUGGGGAGCAAACAGG
rnacentral:rRNA from 1 species